rnacentral:rRNA from 1 species
GACGAACGCUGGCGGCGUGCCUAAUACAUGCAAGUCGAACGCACGAAGUUGAAGAGCUUGCUCUUUAACCAAGUGAGUGGCGGACGGGUGAGUAACUCGUGGGUAACCUGCCCAUUAGAGGGGGAUAACAUUCGGAAACGGAUGCUAAUACCGCAUAGUUUCAGGAAUCGCAUGAUUCUUGAAGGAAAGGUGGCUUCGGCUACCACUAAUGGAUGGACCCGCGGCGUAUUAGCUAGUUGGUGAGGUAAUGGCUCACCAAGGCAAUGAUACGUAGCCGACCUGAGAGGGUGAUCGGCCACACUGGGACUGAGACACGGCCCAGACUCCUACGGGAGGCAGCAGUAGGGAAUCUUCCGCAAUGGACGAAAGUCUGACGGAGCAACGCCGCGUGAGUGAAGAAGGUUUUCGGAUCGUAAAACUCUGUUGUUAAAGAAGAACAAGGAUGAGAGUAACUGCUCAUCCCCUGACGGUAUUUAACCAGAAAGCCACGGCUAACUACGUGCCAGCAGCCGCGGUAAUACGUAGGUGGCAAGCGUUGUCCGGAUUUAUUGGGCGUAAAGCGAGCGCAGGCGGUUCUUUAAGUCUGAUGUGAAAGCCCCCGGCUCAACCGGGGAGGGUCAUUGGAAACUGGAGAACUUGAGUGCAGAAGAGGAGAGUGGAAUUCCACGUGUAGCGGUGAAAUGCGUAGAUAUGUGGAGGAACACCAGUGGCGAAGGCGACUCUCUGGUCUGUAACUGACGCUGAGGCUCGAAAGCGUGGGGAGCAAACAGG